UACAGAGGGGGCAAGCGUUAUUCGGAAUUAUUGGGCGUAAAGGGCGCGUAGGCGGUUUUUUAAGUCGGAUGUGCAAUCCCCAGGCUCAACCUGGGAACUGCAUCCGAGACUGGAAGGCUAGAGUACUGGAGAGGGUGGUGGAAUUCCUCGUGUAGCGGUGAAAUGCGUAGAGAUGAGGAGGAACACCAGUGGCGAAGGCGGCCACCUGGACAGUAACUGACGCUGAGGCGCGAAGGCUAGGGGAGCAAACGGG
rnacentral:rRNA from 1 species